UGUACGUGUGUGUGUGUUCAAGUAGUGAACAAAGGCCGGUUAGACAGGUACAAAAGUACAUCAUUUCUGCCUGUAACCCAGAAUUCAUUACUCAGUAUGAGUUUUGAUACCUACCAGAAAACA
ensembl:snoRNA LOC120102081 small nucleolar RNA SNORA40